rnacentral:misc_RNA from 1 species
UAUGCCUCAAUAUUUGAACAAAGCUGAGAGAGAUGCUAAUGCUAACAACAUUUUUCUUUAUGUAUAUAGCAAAGAAAUGUGGUCAUUCUUUGUUUCAAAGGCAUCUUAUAUCCUAGAACAAGUAUUACAAUUCUUGCAAUGUUUUUGCAGAAAAAUCUGGGUUGAUACAUCCUGAAGCCACAUCAUUUUCAUCAUAAGAAUGUAAAAAAUUUCUCUCGAUUUUCAAUCAUCCACCUCUAAGGGUAGUGAAAACCUUGGAGUUCAGAAAAGCUAAAAUGCACAUGCAUGAAGACUAAUCAAGUCUGAAAUCCGAUUCACACACACAGUGAAACUAAAGAAGCAGCUCCCAACUGAUCAUCAAUUGUUACUUGUGGCAUCAUAAAGGAUAAGAAGCAAAAUGGCUGCGCUCAAAUCAGAAUUUAUGUUAUUAGCACUUUCCUUUGAGUCGCAGAGAAAAUGCAUGUAAGCUUUUAAGAACUUCCUUUAUUCCCUCCUUUGCUUGUGGAUCAAUCAAGUUGCCAUCGCUAUCAAAUUUUGCAGGAGGUGCAAAUGCGUUCAAGAAAAACUCAGGUUUGUUGAUGAAAUGAAGAUCAAGAUAAACUCCAAUUUGGCGAAGAUGGUACUGUGAUCGCCCUCCACCAAAACUUCCUCCAGCACUUACAAUGGCAGCAGCUUUAUCAGCCCAGCAAUUUGGUGGUCUGGAUGCCCAGUCAAUUGCAUUCUUCAAAGGUGCUACCAAAAUGGAGAAAAAAAAUGAAGAAUUCAAAAAUGGAAAACUAAUAAUGGACAAUCCUAUGCGUUAAGUGAGAUUCGACCCUAGAGUUCAGAGAUUCAAUAUGAGGUCUUUAAUCUGUCAAUCAAGGAUUUUAUUAGCUUAACCAGAUAUUAAAAAAUUUAAUUAAAAAAAAGAGCCAAUUUGCAACAGAAAUCAAGGCUUUCAUAUGUCAUAACCUUAUCUGCUCAACAAUUUGGCUGGAAUUAGGCCAGAUGAUGUAACAAAUAACGCAGAUUGGAGAAUUUAAGUAAUGCUGAAACAGCCAACAUUUUGCAAUUGAGAAUUGGCAACCCAUCAAAUCAGAAUGGUGUAUAUUCCCAUUAAAAACCAUCAGCAGCAAAUUGAUGCUCACCCACUUGAAACUUCUAACCCACAAUCUCUCUCUCUCCAAAAACAAGACACCUGGCUUUCAUCCUCCACAUUUGAUUUGAUUACUCUUCUUUUCAGUAAUUGAAGUAGCAAUUUGGCUAGCAAUAACAUCAUUAACCUUCCCAACAAUUAUAAAGAGAGUUAAAACAACAGUAAGACACAUAUAUAUACAAAAUAACUAUAUUGCACUGUACAAAUUGUAAAAAUCUGAGUCAUGAUUUUCUUCAAAAUAUUUAUUUAAAACCAUGAAAUUAGAAAGAAUUUUGAAGAAAUGGGCUUGGAUCUUCCUGCCUUGAACUCUAAGCAGCAAUACAUAUAUAUGUGGAUUUAAAUUUCCUCCCCAAGCUAUUUAAGAAAAGAAAAUAUCCUACAUUUAAAAUUAUAUGGGAGAAAAAUGAGCCAUGAAAAUGGUAGAGCAGAGGGAGGGGUAUAGUACCAGUUACAGAGUAAUUAUACUCAGGGGAAGCGAAAAGGACGCUAUCGGCUUCAAGAAUCUUUUCGCGGAAAGCUUCAACGACGGGUGGGAAAGAACCAUCGGCUCCUUCAAGAUCGGUAUUGAGCAUAGGCAAAGGUGAUAUGUCAAUGUAAUCGAUUUGAAGACCAUUCACUGACUCCUUGCUUAAUUCCAUUGCUGCACGAAUGAGGCCACGGUUAUAGGAUGCUUUGCGAAGAGAGCCAGAAAGAGCGACGACUUUGAUGACUGGGUUUGCUGCCAGAACUGCCUCCAUAUUUCAGGUUCUUUGUUGUACUGAUAUGGUUUAUAUGGCAGAGGGAGAAAAAGCAGUGAAUUAAAAUGAUAAGGUGCUGUGCUUUUGAUGGAACAAAAAGUACAGACCACUCAGAAGUUCAGAACGUUAAUCGGAAUGUGCUGUAAUUUUU